GACGAACCGUGCGAACGUUGUUCGGAAUCACUGGGCUUAAAGGGCGCGUAGGCGGACUAUCAAGUCUGGGGUGAAAUCCCGCGGCUCAACCGUGGAACUGCCUCAGAUACUGACGGUCUCGAGGGAGGUAGGGGCAUGCGGAACUGUAGGUGGAGCGGUGAAAUGCGUUGAUAUCUACAGGAACUCCGGUGGCGAAAGCGGCGUGCUGGACCUCUUCUGACGCUGAGGCGCGAAAGCUAGGGGAGCAAACGGG
rnacentral:rRNA from 1 species